rnacentral:ncRNA from 1 species
GGCAAGUAUAUAAAGAAAUUAUUAUGGAUAUUAGCUAUAUAUAAAGAAUAUCUAGUCAAUCUAGUUUCUAAGAGAAAUCAGAUAAUAAACGAAGUGAAUUGAAAUAUCUUAGUAACUUCAGGAAAAGAAAUCAAACGAGAUUGUUAUUUGGUGUAAACUAAAUAACAAAAGCCUAAAAACAAAACUUGUUAAAGUAAAACGGAUUAAAGUCUGUUUGAAUAAAGGGGAACCUUCCUCUAAGGCUAAAGAUGAUAUAUAAGCGAUAGUGAAAAGUACCGUGAGGUAAAAUUUGAAAUAGUAAUUUUAUAAGCAGCUCGAGUGAAAUUUAAAUAAAAAAUAAGAGCGUACCUUUUGCAUAAUGGGUCAGCAAGUUAAUUUUAGAUGCAAGCAAUGAUUUCAUGCACUUCAGGCAUGAAACUAGCUUAGAUAAACCAAUUAUGAAAAAAUGAAUAAGUAUCUAGAAUUAGACCCGAAGGCUAGUGAUCUUACCAUGGUCAGGGUUAUAAAAGCCCGAACGGGUUAUCGUUGUAUAGAUAUCCGAAGAACUGUGGUAAGUUAGUGAAAGACAAAACUGACUAGUAUAGCUGGUUUUCCGCGAAACCUAUAUGAGUAGGUAAUUUAAUUAACAUCUUAGCAGGUACAGAACUGUGAUCUCGGACAAUAUCUUUUGAUUUUGUCAACAUCGGGGGGUUGUAGUGACUUUACCGGAGAGUAUUUGCACUCGGAAUGGCAAAGAUGAAUGUUGAAUAAUCGGACAUAGUGCGAUAAGGUUGUAUGUCUAAAGGGAAACAGCCCAGAACAAGAGUUAAGGUUCCAAAAUUAUUGUUGAGUGAAAUUAAGGAUGUUUUUUUUUAAUACAAUCAGGAAAUAGGCUUAGAAGCGGCCAUUUUUUGAAGACCUCGUAACAGAGCACUGAUUAACUUUUUAGAAAAAAACACCGAAAAUUAACGGAUCUAAACAAUAUACCGAAACCUUGUACACAUUUAUAUAAUAAUAAUAUUGUAUAUGUGGGGUAGCGGAACAUUGGAUAAAUAUUAAUUAUUAUUUCUUUAUUAAGAAAUAAUAAGUAUGGAUUAUUAUUAUUAAACUAAAACUAAAUUAAAUAAGUAUGAAUUAUUAUUAAUAAACUAAAUUAAAUUAAAUUAAAUUAAUCCAUUAAUAUAAUCCAAGAGAGAAUGCUGACAUGAGUAACGAAAAAGGAAUAUCCUCGCCUAAAGCUUAUGGUAUUAUAUUUAAUUUUCGGUAUCUAAAUAUAUUAAUCAAAAGGUAAUUUUGAUGAUAUUUUUAUAAAAAAAUACUUAAAAGUAAAAAACAAAACCUUUAACAAGUAAUAAAGGUUCUGGAAAAUUUUUUACUUUAAAUAAAAUAUUAUUAAACUUAUAGUCUUAUGAGUAAAGCUCAAUAUGUUAUAUUGUAUUUACUAUAUAACUUCUUGUUACAAGUUUUCAAGAUUGUAUAGUUUAAAUACAAUUUAAUAGAGUUUUAUAAAAAAAAGAUAUAUCUUAUUUUUAUCUUUUACAUUAUUGUAUAUAUUAAGACUAUAUACAAAUAUAUAAUGUAAAUAUAAUAAGGUUUUUUAUAUACCGUACCUAGAUACUAUCACAAGUAAGCAAGUAGAGAAUACAAAGGCGUUUGAGUGAACAAUCAUUAAGGAACUCGGCAAAUUGACUACCGUAACUUCGGGAUAAGGAGGGCCAUUAUGAUUAGUUUAACAUACCUUACAGGUA